GACGAACGCUGGCGGCGCGCUUAACACAUGCAAGUCGAACGGAAAGGCCUGCUUUCCCUUGUGGAUUGCGGGUACUCGGGUGGCCAACGGGUGAGUAACACGUGAGUGAUCUGCCCCCAACUUGGGUAUAAGCCUGGGAUACUGGGUCUAAUUCCCGAUAGGACUGCAGGGUGGUGCCUGUGGUGGAACACGAUUUUCUAGUGGUUGGGGAUGGGCUCGCGGCCUAUCAGCUUGUUGGUGGGGUAAUGGCCUACCAAGGCGGCGCCGGGGAGCCGGCCUGAGAGGGGCGACGGGCGCAUUGGGACUGGGACACGGCCCCGACGGCUGGGGGAAGUAGGAGUGGGGAGUAAUGGGGCGUGAGCGGGAGCCAGCUGUAGCGAGUGCGCGUGGGGGGUGACGGGGUUGGGGUGGUAAACUGCUUUGGACCGCGAGGAAGCCACCUGGUUGGAGGGGUGGUGACGGUAGUGGUAGAAGAAGCACCGGCUAACUACGUG
rnacentral:rRNA from 1 species